GAGGGGGAGGCCCGACCAACAGGAACUGCUAACUCCUGCAUCUGAGUCUAAAACCUCAGCCCCCUCA
rnacentral:tRNA from 1 species